rnacentral:rRNA from 1 species
CCUACGGGUGGCAGCAGUGGGGAAUAUUGCACAAUGGGGGAAACCCUGAUGCAGCGACGCCGCGUGAAGGAAGAAGUAUUUCGGUUUGUAAACUCCUAUCAGCAGGGAAGAUAAUGACGGUACCUGACUAAGAAGCACCGGCUAACUACGUGCCAGCAGCCGCGGUAAUACGUAGGGGGCAAGCGUUAUCCGGAUUCACUGGGGGUAAAGGGAGCGUAGGCGGCGAAGCAAGUCAGAAGUGAAAGCCUAUGGCUCAACUACGGGACUGCUUUUGAAACUGGUUGUCUAGAGUGCGGGAGAGGCAGGUGGAAUUCCUGGUGUAGCGGUGAAAUGCGUAGAGAUUAAGAGGAACACCAGUUGCGAAGGCGGCUUGCUAGACCGUAAAUGACGCUGAUGCUCGAAAGCGUGGGGAGCAAACAGGAUUAGAUACCCGGGUAGUC